rnacentral:ncRNA from 2 species
AAUUAAACCGGGUAUUUGAACUGUAUUGUGCGCCCUGCAUUAGCUAAAGCACUAAAAAAGGAGAUA